GGAUGUGACAGUAAGCUAUCUGAGACAUGUUACCCCACUGUUCAUUGGGGUAGAUUCUAGCUGGCCCAGAGAGCAUUCCCUUCCUCCCCCACUGCUCUGAGUAUAUCCAUCUCGAAGCCUCGAUAGGUCAAAAGGGACAGCCUUCCCCAAACAGAGGAGGGCCAGCAUUCAUUCAAGGUACAGAGCAGUUGUACUUCCUUCCAGAAACCUCCAAAGAAUCUCUCAAUAGUGUCCUAUAAGGGAGAAAAUCACUUACUCUGAGAAGGGGGAACACGAUCAAAGUGAGAGGACCAUAACAUCAGUUCAACAAGUCAACUUAGGGUGGGGUGUUGGUAGUU
rnacentral:snRNA from 1 species